UCCACAGCUACAGCAGCAGCAGCAGCAACAAAUGGUUGGGACUGGAAUGGGCAAGCAUAUGUUCAAGGUCCAGGCCGGUCACAAUUAGUUUCUCAGGGACAAGUUUCAUCACAAGGGCCAACAAACAUGGCUGGUGGCGGCUUUAUGAAUUGACAACUACUUCAAUUGAGUGGGAGCAGUAUAUAAUGAGUUGUAUAUGUAUAAUAAAGAAACUACUUCAGCAAUUAUGUCGACCUGUUGGGUCUCGUAGACUAGUAAUUUUAUCAACAGG
rnacentral:misc_RNA from 1 species